UAUAGAUAAAUACCAGCAGAUACUCAAUGAAAUUUUCGCUUUUAGAAAGCAUUGCAGGCACGGGGCUGAACACUUUUUUUAGGCACAAUUCAAACUUUGUUUACACCCCCGAGAGAUCCGAAAGGAAUUUGUUUAUGAAUUGAAAAAGGCAUGAACUAACAUAAUAGUUUUAUCUGUAAGUAAACAUGACACAAUACAGUCUUUGUUAUGUAAUUAUCACUCCGGUUUACAGGAAUAACUGAUAAUCAAGGGAGAUAACACACUCCAUACGAGUAAAGUGAAAUACAUCAUCAUCAUGUGCUUUUAUCCAAUAAUUUGACCCAUGGUCAGUCAGUAGAUAUCAUAUGCAGUUAAUAAACAGACAAACAUGUACAUGUAUUAAAGAAAUCAUGAAUUAUUAUUUGUAAUGCACACUAGCAAAUCACAAGAUAUUGUCUUUUCUCAGUGAAAAAGGGGGAGGGUCAACAAACCUUUCGAAAACAAUAUUGCUGCACCUUUUCAACUAUUAAGCUAGUUAGCUACCACUCGUUGCUUCUAAUAUAAAAGAUUUAAAUGAAGGUUGAUAAGCCACAAGGGAGAAGCAUUUUUCUUUCUUUGCGAUAAAACGUUCAAGAAUUUGAUUUUUGCUCUCUCAAUAACACUUAUGUAUUUAAACCAAAUAAUAACACAGCCUGAGUAAUUUUUUUUUCUUAUUUCAUUUCCAGACAUAUCAUUACUUUUUAACCUGAGAUGACAAACUAGAGGUGUUAAAAGGUCCUGAAUAACUGAAAUGGACAAAAAUACACAGAUUUAUUCAGAAUGUCAUACCGAUGAAGAUCACAUAAAAAUAUUUGGAAAAAUCAGAACUAUGGAUUGCAAUAUGGGACAACAUCCCUAAUGCGCCUUGAAAUGAGGAACUCAAAAGUCACGUGUAAAGAAAAAAUCUCUGUGUAGUGAUAUUGGACAUGUUUCUAUUUUUAACAAAUGACUGAACUUAAUUAUUUGUGGUGAUUAGGAAAGUAGAGGAACAUAGAAUAAAUGUGUAAAAACUAUGGAGCUAUUGAAUGUGUUCAAAGUAUUAAAUUUUCAAAGAA